AAAAGAAAAGAAAACCUAGGUUCAGUUGCUUUUCAAGCUCAAUCAAGAUCAAAAACCAAAGAAAUCAGAUUUGGAUUGUGGAAAAACUAAAGUUGUCGACUAGCCACUCUGUUCCGUUUUACAUCGUCUGAGGUAAGUUUAUAAGAAAAUAGACAUGUUUAAUGGUAAUUAAAUGUUAAAUUUAUAUGCUGUGAUGAAAUGUUAGAAUUUAUAUAUGUUAUGGCCAAAUAUGAAAAAGCUUGAUUACUACAUUUUCGAGUUCGUUU
rnacentral:lncRNA from 1 species